UUUUUUUUUUUGGGGGCGAAGACAUGCCAAAUUGCUUCCCCACGUACCCUUGUUUCUAUAGAGCUGCAAUUGCGCAGCUGUAGUGUAUUAGUUAUCUGGAAAUAGAACGUCAAACUUUACCAAUAGUUAGAUCUUGUCGUUAGCUUCCUCGGGACAGUAGGCACGCUUUGUUUAGAGAGAAAACAAGAAAGUUGUGGUGGUUUUAGUGACAAGGAGGUCAGCUGUCGCCAGAUCUGGAGGUCCGACUUUGGAAGGCGAUUGUUGGCGGACAGUAUUGAAUUUGGAGCUGAAACUUUUGUGGGGAAUGGUUCUUGUUGUCAGCUUUGCAAGGACUAUUUUCACGCUUAGAUUGAGUAAAGGCCAAGGAAGUUAUGGUGGUUGGAGUGAAGAGGAGUCGGCCGUGGUGAAGAUGUAGCACUCCGCCAACUCAAGCUACUUUGGAAGGUCAUAUCUUGGAAUUCACUCAAGAUUUUCAAGAAAACAUUGUUGGAGGUGAUGCGGCUUCAAUUCUAGUUUCUGGAAUGCUAAAGCAUAUGCGUUGCACAACUGGAAUGGAGCAAGGGCAAGGGUUUUUGUGGCCAGGGGUGCUCUGACUAGGCCGAGAAAGUCAGGCAACUUUGAGGCAAGAUUUCUUUUAGCUUAAUUGUUGUUUUGCAUUGAAUUUUAUUGGAGGACAAGCGCUUGUAAGUCUACUUUCUAAAAUAGCAAAGCUUGUUAUAAACAAGUUAGUGAUGCAACCAUUGUAGUGGAAUUUGUGCAAGGGGGUCGCUGCCAUGACUUGGAAGGUGGCGACUUCCAAUUUUCUUUAAUUUUUAGGAUGAAUCUUGAAUGAAUUAGGUCAAUUGCACGAAUUAUCAAUUGGAUGAUAAGUUGACUUAUGGUUGGAUGAAUGAAUCUUUAGAUGAAAAUUGGAUGAACAAACUUUGAAUGAAUGAAUGUUAUGGGAUGAAUGAGAUUUAAGGGAUAGAUGAUUGAUGAAUGAAAAUUUAGGAUGGAUGAACUUAGGGUUUAUGGAUGAACUUAGGGUUUAUGAAUGAACUUAGGAUUUAUGGAUGAACUUAGGAUUUAUGGAUGAACUUAGGGUUUAUGGAUGAACUUAGGGUUAUAGAUGAACUUAGGAUUUAUGGAUGAACUUAGGGUUUAUGAAUGAACUUAGGAUUUAUAAAAAUUGCGUGUGAGUGAAGUUAAUCCACUUGACUACUAAACGCAAUUAAGGGUGGAGGAAUUUAGCUCACAGUUGACUUACUAACUGAGUUAUUAUAAUUAUUACAACGUUCAAGACGAC
rnacentral:lncRNA from 1 species